rnacentral:rRNA from 1 species
ACGCAGAACCAUACCAUGUUGAACACACCAGUUCUCGUCCGAUCACUGACGUUAAACAGCGUUGGGAGUACCUUAGGUCCUAGGAGACCGUAUGGGAGAUCAGAAAUCUUGGUA